rnacentral:rRNA from 1 species
UGAGUAACACGUAUCCAACCUGCCGUCUACUCUUGGACAGCCUUCUGAAAGGAAGAUUAAUACAAGAUGGCAUCAUGAGUCCGCAUGUUCACAUGAUUAAAGGUAUUUUCCGGUAGACGAUGGGGAUGCGUUCCAUUAGAUGGUAGGCGGGGUAACGGCCCACCUAGUCAACGAUGGAUAGGGGUUCUGAGAGGAAGGUCCCCCACAUUGGAACUGAGACACGGUCCAA